AGCUCAAGUGGCAGAGCACAUGCUUAGCAUGCAUGAGGUCCUGGGUUCAAUCCCCAG
rnacentral:tRNA from 1 species